rnacentral:rRNA from 1 species
AUCGAAAGCUUGCUUUUGAUGGGCGUCGACCGGCGCACGGGUGAGUAACGCGUAUCCAACCUGCCCACCACUUGGGAUAACCUUGCGAAAGUAAGACUAAUGCCCAAUGACAUUGAGUGCAGGCAUCUAAUCUCAAUUUAAAGAUUUAUCGGUGAUGGAUGGGGAUGCGUCUGAUUAGCUUGUUGGCGGGGUGACGGCCCACCAAGGCGACGAUCAGUAGGGGUUCUGAGAGGAAGGUCCCCCCACAUUGGAACUGAGACACGGUCCCAAACUCC